rnacentral:rRNA from 1 species
UACGUAGGGGGCAAGCGUUGUCCGGAGUUACUGGGCGUAAAGCGCACGCAGGCGGUCUGCUAAGUUUGGAGUGACAGUUGGUGGCUCAACCACCAAAGUGCUUUGAAAACUGACAGACUUGAGGGCUUCAGAGGGACACGGAAUUCCGGGUGGAGUGGUGAAAUGCGUAGAGAUCCGGAGGAACACCGAAGGCGAAGGCAGUGUCCUGGGGAGUACCUGACGCUCAGGUGCGAAAGCCAGGGGAGCGAACGGG